rnacentral:rRNA from 2 species
CGAUGCGAUCAUACCAGCACUAUAGCAUCGGAUCCCAUCAGAACUCCAAAGUUAAGCGUGCUUGGGUGAGAGUAGUGCUAGGAUGGGUGACCUCCUGGGAAGUCCUCGUGUUGCAUUCC